UACGGAGGGUGCGAGCGUUGUCCGGAAUCACUGGGCGUAAAGGGCGCGUAGGCGGCCUGAUAAGUAGGGGGUGAAAUCCUGCGGCUUAACCGCAGGGCUGCCUUCUAAACUGUCAGGCUUGAGCACAGUAGAGGCAGGUGGAAUUCCCGGUGUAGCGGUGGAAUGCGUAGAUAUCGGGAGGAACACCAGUGGCGAAGGCGGUUGCCUGGGGCUGUGCCGACGCUGAUGCGCGAAAGCGUGGGGAGCGAGUCCGG
rnacentral:rRNA from 1 species